CCGAAUAAUCCGCGCAGCCAGUUCAUUCCAUUUUUACUGUUCAUCUGAGAUGGUGUUGUAACCAAAUAAAUCCACACCGUGAUUUCAAGUAAAUUUUCUUAACAGAUCAUCGCUGAGUCGUCACAGUUCGUUAUUUGAAUCCUUAAAUAAAAGGUUGUGACGUUGUGGCCUAGACCAAGCUGGACGGGGUCGCGUUGGACGAGAGGCGAAAAAUCUCCCAACGGGGUAGGCAUAUGGGUGGAAAAAAACCCGACCCGGAUAACGGCCCGGGUUAAAGUCGGCAUUUCACCGCGGAGACUAUUUCUGUCACAUUCGUUCAACACCACACCCGCGUUCAACUUUUGCGAAAUUUCCAUAAAUCGAUUGAUUACCGCAUUACCGCACCGCACCACAUACACAUACUUGGUAAAAUUUGCUUUUUAAAAAUGGUUCUGAAUGUGAACUUUAACAAUAAUAAAUGAUUUUUAAAGUUCCCAAUUUAGAAACUCAAUUUUAACUAGCAAAAUUUUACAGAAUAUGAUACCGGUAUGUGAGAUGUUACUUCAGAUUAUGGUGUUUUCAGAACACAUAGCAAAGAUAUCGGUGAAAUAAAUUUUAGAAGUUGUUGGAAAUCGGCGCUCUUGUACGAUAAACAAAAGAGAAAUAAGGGUGCUGUUUUUAUGGUUGGAUAGUGGCGUCCAGUGCUGUUGUAGUGCGUGAUGAGUUGAUCAGAGGCGUUGAACGGUCUGAAGAUUGAUGGCUCGCAACUGCUGCAAUUCUCGUUGAAAGUAAGUUCUGGCGAUAUUUCACUGGAUUUCGUUCGAUUUUCUCCAUAAGAAUAAGCCCUUGAUGGUUUCUCCCUCCAGCAACACGAAGGCGACGAAAGGACCUCCGAUGGUGUCUCCUUGGUGGAAGCUCUGAUAGCUGAGAGUGAUUUCCCCAAUCAAAUGAAAUGAGUCUAAUCGGCGAGGAAUGGGGAGACUCUUCCAUGUGUUCUCACUGGUAUUCGUUGUCAAGUUAAAAAAAAAACCAUACAGUAGCUACCCGAAGUCUUUGGAAGCCCGAGAGGUCCUUAUGCAAAAACGCUGUUUUUGCAGUCCUCUAGUUAGUACAGUUUUUAACCAAAUUCUUCGGAAUUUGGUGUGGAGA